GACGAACGCUGGCGGCAUGCCUAACACAUGCAAGUCGAGCGAGCAGAUCCCUUCGGGGUGAAGCUAGCGGCGGACGGGUGAGUAACACGUGGGCAACCUGCCUCAUAGAGGGGAAUAGCCUUCCGAAAGGAAGAUUAAUACCGCAUAAGAUUGUAGCUUCGCAUGAAGUAGCAAUUAAAGGAGCAAUCCACUAUGAGAUGGGCCCGCGGCGCAUUAGCUAGUUGGUGAGGUAACGGCUCACCAAGGCGACGAUGCGUAGCCGACCUGAGAGGGUGAUCGGCCACAUUGGGACUGAGACACGGCCCAGACUCCUACGGGAGGCAGCAGUGGGGAAUAUUGCACAAUGGGGGAAACCCUGAUGCAGCAAUGCCGCGUGAGUGAUGACGGCCUUCGGGUUGUAAAGCUCUGUCUUCGGGGACGAUAAUGACGGUACCCGAGGAGGAAGCCACGGCUAACUACGUGCCAGCCGCCGCUGUAA
rnacentral:rRNA from 1 species